AUAUUGAGGUUUAAGCGGAUUAAGGUCUCAAAAAGUAGAAUUUUAGGUCCAGUGAGGGUUUUUAAGAUUUCAUGCAAUCUACUAGUUGGAUUGGAAUAAAACUUAUGUGAGAGGGUAUUAGACUUGUGUUUCUAUGUCUAUGAGAAAUUUUAAACGAAUAGAACAGCGCAAAGAAGAGAAAUUGGCUCUGGAAUGUUGGCAUCAAGAUUGGAGAAGGAGACCAGCUAACACAUGAAUACAUUUUUGAGGUUUUCGUCAAUUUGGUAACUCCGAUCCUUUUCAAAUUUUUUUUUACUUGUUUUAAACUUGGCUUUUAAGAAGUGUGCAAAUUUUGAAUUGAGAUCAACGGUUUAUUCAUUAGAUAUUGAGGUUUAAAUCUAUCAUAGGAAUUACUAGGAUUUGGAUUAGGAUUUGGCUAGGGUUCGAUUUAGGGUUUGAUUUAGAGUUUAGGGUUUUUUGAUUAGGAUUUGGUUAGGGUUUGAUUUAGGAUUUGGAUUAGGGUUUGGAUUAGGGUUUAGAGUUUGUUUAGGGUUUGAUUUAGGAUUUGAUUUAAGGUUUGGUUUAGAGUUUAGGGUUUGGUUAGGAUUUAAGUUUGGAUUAAGAUUUGAUUUAGGAUUUGGAUUAGGAUUUGGUUAGGGUUUGAUUUAAGGUUUGGUUUAGGGUUUAGGAUUUGGAUUAGGAUUUAGGAUUGGAUUAGAGUUUGGAUUAGGGUUUAGGAUUUGAUUUAAGAUUUGAUUUAGGAUUUGGUUUAGGGUUUAGGAUUUGAAAUAGGAUUUGAUUUAUGGUUUAAUUUAAGGUUUGUUUAGGAUUUAACUUAGGAUUUAGGAUUUAUUAGGAUUUAAGAUUUAAUUAGAUUUGGUCUAAAGUUUGAGUGAAAUUCACUAGGAUUUUAACUAGAAUUAAAUUAAGGUUGAAUUGACAUAUAUUUGAGUAAUAUUUGUGAUCAUUCUAAUAUUUCUUUAAGAAUUUUAUUGUUUGUUUGAAAUUUCUUUGAGUUGUUUUGAAUUUGAUUACAUUUUUUUACCAUUAUUAUAGUCUAAUUAGAGCAUUAUUAGUAUUCUAUUAGAAUUAGGAUUUUGUUAUCGUAAUUUCUAUUCUUCCUUCUACAGCCAGGUGCCCGGAGCAUUCUCAAGCAAGACUUCACACAUUACGACAACGGUGACUUGACAUAAAGCACCUUUUAGAUAAUGAUGCCAUUCUUGAAAUAAAUCCAUGAUUAUAAGGAGCUCUGUAUUAUGGAUCUCAUAAUUAAUCUUAAUUGCUAAAAAUUUCCUGGAAUGGAAAGCUACUGGAUGGAGUU
rnacentral:lncRNA from 1 species